UAGUUCUUCCUCCUUUGUGUCUGGGUUCCCCAGAGCCUUGCCCUGGCGCUGGAGCUCAGAAGAAGCAGGACUUUGUAAG